rnacentral:tRNA from 1 species
UGCCCCAUGGCUGAGUUGGUUACAGCGUCCGACUGUUACUUGACGGCAUCGGAAGGUCGUGAGUUCGAGCCUCACUGGGGCAG